AAAAGUGCUUGUCUCAAGACCAUGAUCACAAAGGUUGUUUUCCCAGGGUGAGGCAUAUCUAUGGGACUCUGGAUGUGCUGACCCCUGAGAUUUCCCUAAACCUAGGGAACUCGACUGCAUAAUUUGUGGUAGUGGGGGAUUGUGCUCAUGCUCUCCCCUG
ensembl:snRNA U1 U1 spliceosomal RNA